rnacentral:rRNA from 1 species
UACGUAGGGGGCAAGCGUUAUCCGGAUUUACUGGGUGUAAAGGGAGCGUAGACGGUGAAGCAAGUCUGAAGUGAAAGGCGGGGGCUCAACCCCCGGACUGCUUUGGAAACUGUGCGGCUCGAGUGCGGGAGAGGUAGGCGGAAUUCCUAGUGUAGCGGUGAAAUGCGUAGAUAUUAGGAGGAACACCAGUGGCGAAGGCGGCUUACUGGACCGUAACUGACGUUGAGGCUCGAAAGCGUGGGGAGCAAACAGG